UACGUAGGGGGCAAGCGUUGUCCGGAAUCAUUGGGCGUAAAGAGCGUGUAGGCGGCUCGGUAAGUCCGCUCUGAAAGCCCGGGGCUCAACCCCGGGAGGCGGGCGGAUACUGUCGGGCUAGAGUCCGGAAGAGGCGAGUGGAAUUCCUGGUGUAGCGGUGAAAUGCGCAGAUAUCAGGAGGAACACCAAUGGCGAAGGCAGCUCGCUGGGACGGUACUGGCGCUGAGACGCGAAAGCGUGGGGAGCAAACAGG
rnacentral:rRNA from 1 species